GUGUUUGAUGGUGAAUGUGCGGUCAGGUGAAUUCUGCAGGUUGUUUGAAUUGAUCAGUUACCUUUUUCUGGAGGGCAUUAAUAGCAUAUUUAUUUUUUGGCGCCUUUGUAGAAAUAGGAACAUUUAUUAGAAAUAUGACAGAACAUUUUUGAAUCAUAUGCUGGUAUGACUGUGAUGUCUCAGCACAAUGAAUGUUAUGCCAAAAGAAGCUCCAAUUUAUGGAGGUGGAAAAAUAAUUGCAGAAGUACAUAAUCAAUCUCCAGAACAGAAUCUAAGUUAUUAUUUAGUAUUUAAAGGCUCACAAAAAAGACAUACUGUUCCUGCUACUACUGUGUGCAGUAACAAUGUACUCCAACUUAUUGCUACCAUA